rnacentral:lncRNA from 1 species
AGUGGAUUCACAGUUGAUUGUAGCAGGCAUAGUUGGGAAGUACGCCCGUGAUCAUUAGUCUUCACUGUUAUUGUAGGGGGCCAUAGUGGUGAAGUAUGGCCAUGGUCAUUAGUUUCCUAUUUGAAUUAUUUGAUAUCGAAAUUGAUAUGUUUGCCUAUUCAUAGUGGUAGUUAGGGAUCCUUUAUGCCCUCAGCUAAUAUCAGUUAGAACAGCUUCGUGCGAAGAUUUGUAAAAUUCGUAAAAACUAUCAAACUGUUUAUUAAGAAGAUUGUUGUUUAUGCAUUUUUUCCAUUAUUUAACUAUCUCCCUGAUAACUAUUGUAUGUUUGCCCUUACAUGUUUCUUAUGCGCUUUACAU